ACACUUACCUGGUCAAGGAGAUGCCAUGAUCACGAUGGUGGUUUUCUCAGGGUAGUACUUGUUCAUUGCAUUGUGUCUCACCCCUGUGAUUUCCCCCAAAUUAAUUUGUGAUAGUGGGGGACUAUGUCUGUGCUUGCUUUAAUAAAUAAAGCAAAAAACCCCAG
rnacentral:snRNA from 1 species